rnacentral:rRNA from 1 species
UACGUAGGGUGCAAGCGUUGUCCGGAAUUAUUGGGCGUAAAGAGCUCGUAGGCGGUUUGUCGCGUCUGCUGUGAAAACUCGGGGCUCAACUCCGAGCUUGCAGUGGGUACGGGCAGACUAGAGUGUGGUAGGGGAGACUGGAAUUCCUGGUGUAGCGGUGAAAUGCGCAGAUAUCAGGAGGAACACCGAUGGCGAAGGCAGGUCUCUGGGCCACUACUGACGCUGAGAAGCGAAAGCAUGGGGAGCGAACAGG